rnacentral:rRNA from 1 species
GACGAACGCUGGCGGCGUGCUUAACACAUGCAAGUCGAACGGAAAGGCCCUGCUUUUGUGGGGUGCUCGAGUGGCGAACGGGUGAGUAACACGUGAGUAACCUGCCCUUGACUUUGGGAUAACUUCAGGAAACUGGGGCUAAUACCGGAUAGGAGCUCCUGCUGCAUGGUGGGGGUUGGAAAGUUUCGGCGGUUGGGGAUGGACUCGCGGCUUAUCAGCUUGUUGGUGGGGGAGUGGCUUACCAAGGGUUUGGCGGGUAGCCGGCCUGAGAGGGUGACCGGCCACAUUGGGACUGAGAUACGGCCCAGACUCCUACGGGAGGCAGCAGGGGGGAAUAUUGCACAAUGGGCGGAAGCCUGAUGCAGCAACGCCGCGUGCGGGAUGACGGCCUUCGGGUUGUAAACCGCUUUCGCCUGUGACGAAGCGUGAGUGACGGUAAUGGGUAAAGAAGCACCGGCUAACUACGUG